rnacentral:tRNA from 1 species
AUUUAUAUAGUUUAUUUAAAACAUUACAUUUUCAUUGUAAAAAUAAAAAAAAUAUUUUUUAUAAAUA